rnacentral:rRNA from 1 species
AUAUCAAUAAGCGGAGGAAAGGAAACCAACAGGGAUUGCCCUAGUAACGGCGAGCGAAGCGGCAACAGCUCAAAUUUGAAAUCUGGCUUCGGCCCGAGUUGUAAUUUGCAGAGGAUGUUUCUGGCGCGGUGCCUUCCGAGUUCCCUGGAACGGGACGCCAUAGAGGGUGAGAGCCCCGUAUGGUUGGAUACCAAGCCUGUGUGAAACUCCUUCAACGAGUCGAGUAGUUUGGGAAUGCUGCUCAAAAUGGGAGGUAAAUCUCUUCUAAAGCUAAAUAUUGGCCAGAGACCGAUAGCGCACAAGUA